rnacentral:rRNA from 1 species
UGGGGAAUAUUGCACAAUGGAGGGAACUCUGAUGCAGCGACGCCGCGUGAGUGAUGAAGGAAUUCGUUUCGUAAAACUCUGUUCUAUGGGAAGAAAAGGACUGUACCAUAGGAGAAAGCUCCGGCUAAAUACGUGCCAGCAGCCGCGGUAAUACGUAUGGAGCGAGCGUUGUCCGGAAUUAUUGGGCGUAAAGGGUGCGCAGGCGGCUUUACAAGUUGGAUGUGAAAUAUUGUGGCUCAACCACAAACGUGCAUCCAAAACUGCAAAGCUUGAGUUAAGGAGAGGUAAGCGGAAUUCCUGGUGUAGCGGUGGAAUGCGUAGAUAUCAGGAGGAAUACCGGUGGCGAAGGCGACUUACUGGACUUAAACUGACGCUCAGGCACGAAAGCGUGGGGAGCAAACAGG